rnacentral:lncRNA from 1 species
UGAUAAUCAAUUAAUACAAUUUAAUACAAUCAUUCAUUAUGAGUCAUAUACAUGAAAUUACCCCAAUUAAUCAUAAUGUUUUACAAUACUGAAAGAAUUAAUUAAGCAAAAGUGUACUAACCAAAACAUUUUGUGGUAGGGCUUGGAGAACAAAUUUAUCUGAACAGAAAAGUGAAUCUUCAUAGCACUGUCUCUUUGCAGGUGUGGUGAAAAUACAAUCAUCAUGACUAUCAAACUCCAAAUUAAAAUGCGACAAAGCAACACUUUUGCGACAAAGCAACACUUUUCCUUCCAAAUGAUGUACUUUUUCACCGGUUUCAUUCCAUACCCUCAUUUGCUCUGUACACAAUUGACUCAAAUUUCUUCCCCAUCGCCAUUUUUUCUAUUUGCAAACUUCAACAAAACGAUCAGAAUUAUCUUAAUAAUAAGUUAGAAUCCAAAUUAAAAUCUUAAAAUAAUAGGAUGCCCACAAAGCAAAAUCAGAAAAAAUUUGUUGUCACUUCCCAUAAAUCCCCCUGGCAGAUGUAUAAUUUUGUGUACAGUUCAACGUUCCAAAAUUUUGAGAAGUCCUAAUUUGACGCAGAAAUCAUUGUAAAAUGUGUGAAUAAGAAACAAGUAAAAUUUAAAUUUAGAAACAAUUAAAA